GAUGAAAUAUUACCAGCAACGUUAACAAAGACAAGUACUAUAAACACUGAGAGUGUUUAAAUGGAUAGCGAGCGAUUAUCAUGUACUCUGCAUAUCUUUAAUAUACAAUUUCGUUUUAUGUUUCAAAAAUAGUUAAAAAAAAAUAAUGAUGAUGAUGUUGGAAGGCUGUUUAUAAACUGGUACAGUGUCAAAUUAAAUUCGUACUCGUGACUUUGUAAUUUCCAGUGUCAAAUUAAAUUCAUAUUCGUGACAAGAACAUAUUCAUCAAUGAAGGGACCAUGGUAUCCCGAUUUGUACUAAACCAACUUAAUGUGCUAGCUCACAAGGUAAUAAAUAUUCCUAGCAGAAAUGUAAAAUAGUAAAAUAAAGGACAUGUUCAUUUUUUUACAGAAAUAUUAAUAUAAGGACCUGAAAAUUUAGUUGUGGACAAUAUAUACUGACAUCGGACUUAAAUAUAAGUUACAAUUGAGCGUAGUAUAUUCAAGACCCUAGUUAGCUAGUGUUGUCGCUGCGAGGCACUGUAGAAUAUAAACAAAGAAGAUGUGGUAUAAUUGCUAAUAAGACAACUCGAG
rnacentral:lncRNA from 1 species